rnacentral:rRNA from 1 species
GCUUGUCUCAAAGAUUAAGCCAUGCAUGUCUAAGUAUAAAUGGUAUACAGUGAAACUGCGAAUGGCUCAUUAAAACAGUUAUAGUUUAUUUGGUAUUCGAAUUUACAUGGAUAACCGUGGUAAUUCUAGAGCUAAUACAUGCACCCGUGCCCGACUUUGUGGAAGGGUUGUGUUUAUUAGUUACAGAACCAGCCCAGGCUCUGCCUGGUCUUGUGGUGAUUCAUAAUAACCGAACGAAUCGUAUGGCAUCAGCUGGCGAUGAAUCAUUCAAGUUUCUGACCUAUCAGCUUCCGACGGUAGGGUAUUGGCCUACCGUGGCAAUGACGGGUAACGGAGAAUUAGGGUUCGAUUCCGGAGAGGGAGCCUGAGAAACGGCUACCACAUCUAAGGAAGGCAGCAGG